rnacentral:lncRNA from 1 species
GACUCUGAGGAGGCACAACAUAGUCGACAAGCAAUUCCACUGGGUUGUACAAAUGUUGUCACUUUACAAAGGGUAUUAAAAGAGAAGAAAGAGGUUUUUUAAAAAUGAUAUUCAACAAUGGAUAACAUCUGAUCAUAAUUAUCAGAGGCCCAUCUCUUUAAUACCAACAUUCUGCCUGUUUUGAAGUAGAGCAGCAAGACAUGGAAUACAAGUUUCCAAAGAAUUAAAAAUGAAUAUCACCCAGAGGAGUCAAAUACCUCAAGAUUGUCUCCUGCCUCAGCUUUCUCCUGGGCCUGUCUGCAUAAGUAACUCUAAUGCAUAGUGCCAUGACCGAAGGGAGAAGAUCAAGAAGAAAAGAAAAAUUUAUUCUCCUAGCUUCCAAGUAAAGAUCCAAGUGAAGAAGCAAAAAAGUGAACCCUUCUCAAGAGCUCUGUUAUAUCUUCUUUAAGAAUUAAAAAUUAGGUUUGAGCCAAUAUGAGAGUUACAAAAGUGAGAUUGUGGUCGCCAUUUAUAAAAUAUUAGCCCUCAAGUCAGAAAUGACUGUUAGCAGCUUUUAUUUUACUACAAGGUAGAGAUAUUGAAAAUGGGAAAUGUAGGAAGGAGACAGAGCUUUGUCUAUCCUACUGCCCUAAGUUCUGCUCAGGUGAAGUCUGGCUCAGCCCCCUGCA